GGCCUCGUAGCUCAGGUGACCAGAGCAUUGGAUGCCCUAAAGCCUUCCCCUUGCUGGCGUGGGUUUGAAUCCCACUGAGGCCG
rnacentral:tRNA from 1 species